GGUUAAGCGACUAAGCGUACACGGUGGAUGCCCUGGCAGUCAGAGGCGAUGAAGGACGUGCUAAUCUGCGAAAAGCGUCGGUAAGGUGAUAUGAACCGUUACAGCCGGCGAUGUCCGAAUGGGGAAACCCAGUGUGAUUCGUCACACUAUCGUUAACUGAAUACAUAGGUUAACGAGGCGAACCGGGGGAACUGAAACAUCUAAGUACCCCGAGGAAAAGAAAUCAACCGAGAUUCCCCCAGU
rnacentral:rRNA from 1 species